rnacentral:rRNA from 1 species
CCUACGGGUGGCAGCAGUAGGGAAUAUUGCUCAAUGGGGGAAACCCUGAAGCAGCAACGCCGCGUGGAGGAUGAAGGUUUUCGGAUUGUAAACUCCUUUUGUUAGAGAAGAGAAUGACGGUAUCUAACGAAUAAGCACCGGCUAACUCCGUGCCCGCUGCCGCGGUAAUACGGAGGGUGCAAGCGUUAUUCGGAAUCACUGGGCGUAAAGGGCGCGUAGGCGGGAUAGCAAGUCAGAAGUGAAAUCCUAUGGCUUAACCCUAGAACUGCAUUUGAAACUGUUAUUCUAGAGUAUGGGAGAGGUAGGUGGAAUUCUUGGUGUAGGGGUGAAAUCCGUAGAGAUCAAGAGGAAUACUCAUGGCGAAGGCGACCUGCUAGAACAUAACUGACGCUGAUGCGCGAAAGCGUGGGGAGCAAACAGGAUUAGAUACCCUUGUAGUC